rfam:Gossypium raimondii Chr13_contig_991, whole genome shotgun sequence.
CACGUCAGCGCGAGUUGAUGAUGUGGCAGCAAAUCGCGUCCUUGAGGGCGCGAUUUGCUGCCACAUCAUCAAAUCACGCUGACGUGG